rnacentral:misc_RNA from 1 species
GGAGUACAUACGCAAAACUGGGAUUUCCAAGAAUUCCAAGAUGUAUAAAUAUGUAGUUACUCUGCUGGGUAUCUCAAGGAUUGACACCAUCCGCGAAAAGGUGACAAAAAGUUUGGGUUUACAGACGAAGAGGUUUGGAGUCUUAUUGGGCGUUCCCCCCUUUUAUUGACAAUGUCAGUUGAUAAGGUUCAAAGGAAUAUGACUUUCAUUGUGGGCAC